AUGGCGUCCCCGGCGCGGCCAACCUCCGUCUCCGGCCCCUUCGGCUCCGCCGCCGACCUCACCAUCUUCUCCACUCCGACCACGACGCGGCGGGCGGAUCCAGCCCGUGCGAGCGAGACGGCGGCCAGAUCCUCGAUGGCGAUGACACGCAGCGGUCCCCGCUGGUCAAAUCAGCCCCCCCCCACCAGUGAAUCUUCUCCGGCCCCGUACGUCCCCACCAGCGAAGGCGACGUCCUCACGCGGAUUCACGUCCUCCUCCCAAAGCAGCCGUCCCCGGCGAGCCAUCCUAGUGGCCAGAGGAGGUGGAGGAGCACCUGCCUCCUCUCCCCCAGCGCGUGGGCCGGGGGCUGCUUCCUCUUCCCCGCCUAG
rnacentral:rRNA from 1 species